rnacentral:lncRNA from 1 species
AGUUCCCCAAACUAUCAGCCCAACAACUUGCAUCACAGGACUCAAGAGAAGUCAGGGAUGAAUCCUUGGACAAAGCCUUGAUAUGGGGACGGUGGUCCUGGGGACUGAAAGGCUGGGGUGUGCUAGGUGCUGGUAUCUGGGAGCUUUGGGCUCAAUGCCAUGGGGAUCCCAGCACUCAAUGUUCUUCCUCUGAUCCCUGGUUGCCUCCUGUGCCCCGGGGCUGGGGCAGGGAAUGGCUGCAUGCCAGGUCAGUCUGUGCCAACGGAGCCUGCCAAACCCAGGGGCACUUGGGGGUUGUGGGAGGGACAGUGGGAGGAUAAAUGCAGCCCUUGCUUCCUGCAGCCUCACCCAGCUCCCAGAGCACAGAGGAAGAUGAAGGCAGCUGCGCUCAGCCUCGUGAUGCUCCUCGCUGCCCUGUGCUGCACAGUGGAAGCUCAGGUCGUGCUCAGCAGAGCAGAGGAGAAUCCCCCACGUGAGAAACGCGCGGUCCUGGAUCUGCAUGUCUAG